UGGUUGGGUAGGGGAGCGUCGUGUCAGUGGUGAAGCUGCCGGGUGACUGUGUGGUGGAGUUGAUGCGAGUGAGAAUGCAGGCAUGAGUAGCGUGUGACGGGUGGGAAUCCCGUCCGCCGAUUAUCCAAGGGUUCCAGGGUCAAGUUUGUCUGCCCUGGGUGAGUCGGGUCCUAAGGCGAGGCCGACAGGCGUAGUCGAUGGGUAACCAGUUGAUAUUCUGGUACCGGCUUGUCACCGUCCGUGUCGAGGUGUGUGAUGCUAAGCAUGUGAGC
rnacentral:rRNA from 1 species